rnacentral:rRNA from 1 species
AGAGUUUGAUCCUGGCUCAGAUUGAACGCUGGCGGCAUGCCUAACACAUGCAAGUCGAACGGAAACGAUGCUAGCUUGCUAGCAGGCGUCGAGUGGCGGACGGGUGAGUAAUGCAUAGGAAUCUACCUAAUAGUGGGGGACAACCUGGUGAAAACCAGGCUAAUACCGCAUAAUCCCUACGGGGCAAAGCAGGGGACCUUCGGGCCUUGCGCUAAUAGAUGAGCCUAUGUCGGAUUAGCUAGUUGGUGAGGUAAUGGCUCACCAAGGCGACGAUCCGUAGCUGGUUUGAGAGAAUGAUCAGCCACACUGGGACUGAGACACGGCCCAGACUCCUACGGGAGGCAGCAGUGGGGAAUAUUGCACAAUGGAGGAAACUCUGAUGCAGCAAUGCCGCGUGUGUGAAGAAGGCCUUAGGGUUGUAAAGCACUUUCAGUAGGGAGGAAAAGUUUGAGGUUAAUAACCUUAGGCCCUGACGUUACCUACAGAAGAAGCACCGGCUAACUCCGUGCCAGCAGCCGCGGUAAUACGGAGGGUGCAAGCGUUAAUCGGAAUUACUGGGCGUAAAGCGCGCGUAGGCGGUUAAUUAAGUCAGAUGUGAAAGCCCUGGGCUCAACCUGGGAACUGCAUUUGAAACUGGUUAACUAGAGUAUGGUAGAGGAGAGUGGAAUUUCAGGUGUAGCGGUGAAAUGCGUAGAGAUCUGAAGGAACACCAGUGGCGAAGGCGGCUCUCUGGACCAAUACUGACGCUGAGGUGCGAAAGCGUGGGUAGCAAACGGGAUUAGAUACCCCGGUAGUCCACGCCGUAAACGAUGUCAACUAACUGUUGGGCGGGUUGCCGCUUAGUGGUGCAGCUAACGUAUUAAGUUGACCGCCUGGGGAGUACGGCCGCAAGGCUAAAACUCAACGAAUUGACGGGGGCCCGCACAAGCGGUGGAGCAUGUGGUUUAAUUCGAUGCA